AUAUAUUUUUAAGUAAGAGAGCUGUCAUAAAGUGGGACAGAUGUUGAGAAGAUCAGGUGCGAGCAAAACCAUCCCCUCCAGUCUGCUCUCCCUCUCCGUAUCCACAAGACCUGUGUGUGCAGAAGGAGAUGACGAAGACACCUUAUGUCAAGAAGAUGCCCAGAAAGCUGGAAAAGAUGGCAUCUCGUCAGGUCAUUGCUUGCGCUGAGACAUUUCAUCACCAGGCCGUUUUGGCUCCACGCUGUGUUAGUGCUAGCCUGGAACCGGGAUUUACUGCUUCCUCACACCCGGCCACAAACAGAAGCGCUGCUGAAACGCCGCUGCAAAAAGGGGUCAGCGACAGAGUGCUACCAAAAGGAAGCAGCGAGGGAAUUUCUCCCCCUGCUCAGGUUGCAUCUUAGGGUUUGCUCCGUGCUUGGGCCAUAUGUGACCCGUGCCCCAGGGGGAUGGGGGGGACAUCAAAGGGCAGCCUCAGGCGGGGAUGAGCUCACUCGCCUGUGCUUGACCCCUGCUGCAAGGCAGGGGGUGGCAGCUCCGUGUCCACACAUCCCUGCAACGGCUGGGGGGGGUUUGGGGCAGGGAACCCCCUGCCUGCAGCUGCCUGGGCUUUGUGAGAACCUGAUCUGCCUUCCCUUGAGCCUGUGGCUUGCUCUCAGUAAUGCCACUUGGUCCUGCACGGCAGCAGCUCGCAUCAGGGAUGGGGCCAGCGGCUCUGCUGGACGUCCCCGCGUGGAGCUUUGGUGCCCCUGGCUCCAGCAGAUACGAACAGGCUCUGUGGAUCCCCUCAUCUCCUGGAUCUCCAGGAGAGCAGGGACGUGCCAAGCCAUAUGGCUAAUUUGUACAGGUCCUGUCACAAACGAGCACUGAGCUCUGUAAUUGCCAGAGCCGGCCGCAGGAUGAGUGCUGACUGCACCGCCGCUCUCAGGCUUUGCUGUUUGUUUGCUUUCUGAGCAAAACCAAACCUUCGGGUGCUGUCCUGAAGACGUGUGGGUGUGCUGGGCAAAUUCAAAUCCUCUCUGCUUGAAUUAUUUCCCACCUUGAACACGAUGGUGCCCCAUACCCUAACGCACCUGCAGUGCCUCUCUCUCCCCUGUGUCCUCACCUCUCCGGGCUGAGGAAUCCAGCCUGGCGUCUCCCAGGGCUUCCCAGCUCCUCCUGGCUGCCGAGGCAGUGUUGGUUCAGCUCCAAGGCACGGGGAGGUUUUGCCAGCACGCACCCCGUGCUGAGGACCCACCAGGCACACCACAGCAGCCACCUGUUCUCAGGCUUUGCAGGAGACGAGCAAAAUUUCCCAGACUGCUGCCUCCUCCAGGAAUGCUGCCUGUUAAUUAUUAUUAAUGACUCCCUGCGACUUUUACUAUUACCAAUACUAAUUAAUUGGGUUAUUGCUACCAUUUCUCUCGGAGGUGUUUGGGGGUGGCACGUCCAAAAAAACAGGCUCGGCUUUCAAUAUGGAAAAAGGACAAGAGGGAGCUCACUCCGUGCUCUUUGGGGGGCACAAGGCAGCAGAGGUGAGCAGCCCUUAGCCCUGGCACUCCUUAGCUGGUUCUCCUUAACUUAUUCUCCCUGUGUCUGGAUGAGCAGCCAGUCUCUCCAAGCAGUCAGCCAGGAAGCUACCCAAAGGCAAAGGCCAGGAGAAGACAGACAGCAACCUCCACCACGGCACGCCUUUGUCCCCAGAUCCUGGUCUCAUCAUCGCACUCCAUCACGGAGCAGAUAACAAAGCUGCCCAUCACAGCAGAUCUUCCUGGCCCUGGGCUCGGGGUGAGCCGGGCUCCUCUGUGGUGAGACCUGUCAUUAAACGUAUGGCACAGCCCCAAUUUACCAAAAAUAUCCCUGAAGAAUGGAAAAGAGGAGAGGCGCGUGUGCAGGCAUGCUUGCGUGCAUGCGUGUCCACAAAGCCAUUUGCUGUUUAGGUGUCAGAAAUAAAUUUUACCACUGGAGUCUGCA
rnacentral:lncRNA from 1 species